UUGGGUGCCUAGACUUGAUGACUAAAGCAUGGCAUAGACAUUAAUAUAUGUACAAGUUCUGUAUUAAUUUAUUUAUUACUGAAUUGUGUUUCACACGAUUUAUUUUGCGAGCGGAGGACAAGGCGUUGUUCUGCCUUAGACAUUUUUGUUUUGUUUCGGAAGUGUCUAAUUUUCACAGUUGAGCCACCAGGAGGUCACUUUAGGGCCUUCAAGAAAAACUUGAUCGUAUUUUGAUGAAUCUGAGAUUCUGGGUAAUAUAAGCGUUUAAAUUAAGAAGAUGGGGCCUAGAACAUAUUUCAAUCACUGGAACCGUACUUUGUUGAUCUGUUUGAAAUGUAAGCUUAAAAUUGUGUAUAGUUCAUGGUCUAUGCGCAAUGUGAAUGUGAAGAUUGGUAUUUAUUUCAACAGACACCAUGCGCCAAAUGUUCCCGCAACUUUGUCAUAGUUUGGCAGGUAGUUAUUAGGCUUAAUGGACAAUUUCACAAACGAAUUAUAAUAAUGCUGCUUAAUGUCUUAAUUACAAAAAUUAACCAACGACCGACAGCCGAAAUCUUUAUGAGUGCUUACAAAUGUCUUACAAUUAGUCGUUUCUGUUUUCUGUCUCGCGUACCAUUGCAAAAACGAAAAACGACGCAGACAGCGCCCCAAAAGGCCAGAAAUACUUGCCAUUCACUAUAUAAAUAGGCGGUGCAAAUUUAUCAACGCGCAAUAAUCUCCUUUCCGUUGCAAACUAUUUAAGGUUUUCAUGAUAAUAUUUUAAUGGUUUCGUUAAAAUGGUGUCCGUCAGAAGGCGAUCAUAGGUUGACACACAUGAAACCCCUUUUCAUGUGCUCAACCGUUAAAUGUCCCCGACCUUGAAAACUUCCCUAUUACUUCUUUUAUAAAAAGCUUAUGGCCUGGUAAGCCUACAUGUCAACACAUACACUGGCACUCCGUCUACGUCUACACAUGCAGGCCGCAUUUAUUAGGGCCUUCAUUGUGCUUUGUUCGGAGUACGUAUCUAUUGUGUUUUCAGGGGUCGAUUAACGUAUGGGAGUGUUGCACUUCAACAACAACAAAAUAUACCCAUAAUAAUGGUCCCGUUAAUUGAAAAAAUCAUUGUGGAAUGGUAAAAAUGGCCUGGAAAAAGCUUAAUUAAAAUGUACGUACGUACAUUCGUGUUCGUGAACGUUAAUACGAAAUUCAACGCAUUAAACCAUACUCUUGAUGUGAGUGACAAAUCAAAAAUGGUAAGUCGGUGGCAGUUACACUUCACUGAAAACUGUAGAGUGAUAAAAUAAAGCUACCCUACAAGGUCUUGCAUUUGGUGCCUGAUCCCAGUCCUCAUUUAAAAGGACACAGUGCCUUAGCCAAAAUAAAAACCGAUGGAGAGGGAUACCAAGAUCCGACAAGAUUUUAUGUUUGCCUUCGCCAUUUCACAGUCCCCUUACUAACUUUUUCAUGCGUCAUUCGAUUUGUAUAAUUUUGGCCAGCAGAUCGGUGGAUGUUUAGUGCUGUUGGUUGCCUUUGACUUAGAUGCUUGGCGCAUGCCGCAGGUACUUUAUUUUACUUGCCCUUGUCAAUACGGUUCGACUUUGACUACUUGUAUUCCAAUUUAUUGCAGCCGUUAACGCUCCAGUGAUACGCAAAAUCCAUGAAAUUGAUCGGCGUACAUACACAAGAGCGCUAUAAGCUUUUAUGGAGCAUAUUGAAAGUAAUUUUCGGCCAAAUUCCUCAACAUUGGUAAUACAUAGACACUCUUAUAAACGUGAGGAAACAAGAAAACAUGCUGACACCUGCCAAUCCAAAAAAAGACAAGCACACAUGGUGGCUGGGAAAUGGAUAUACAUACAUAGAUAUGUAUGUAUGUACAAACAUAUGUACAUGUGUACAUAACAAACCAAUUUUCUACUAUCCCGAAAAUUUGACAUGUCGCAAAUAGUGCAUUUUGGAAAGUUCCAUGACAGGAAUUUUUGGCUAUGUACACAUUCCAGUCUCAGCUGCAGCAAUAAACAAAAUGAAAUUCUGAUUUUGUUGUGCAACAACAACAGCAACAGCAACGUGAAUGCAACGCCAAAACAAAGGUAGCGAGAAGUAACUUGUUGACCUUCCCGUUCUCUACAACUUGGCGUGACGGUGUCGCAACACCCGUCAAAUCAGUACUGGGUGGCUGCUCUGUGCUACAAUUCCCGCUUUGUGGACACACAAGAAACGAAGACGGAGAUAGUGAGGCGGAGGGUGCAGGUGCUGAAAGCAACUUAAGCAGAGCGAAAAUGCUGGUGUCUAGAACAAAUUACAAGAGGCUAGUACCGGACUUUGCUGAUCGGUUGACCAAAAACACUACGAACCACGCCUUAUUUUAUUCAAGCAACUACGAGCAGCAGUUAAUAUCAUAUAAGUUCUCUGUGAUCAUCAAGAAUAAUUGAUCGUAACCAAAGGCGUCAUUCCCGUCAAAGCUCUUGUUGUCGAAAUUGGAAUGUUCUCUGGCUGCGUCCCUCAAACAAUGGAGCUAACUAUAUCCUCGUUUUGCAUUUGUGAUUUUUUUUAAACUAAGCCAUUUGCAAACACUGACCAAAGUGGGAGUGGCAGACGAAGCUGGCUCAUACGUACGUACUCGUUCUUCAUUCGUCUCACCCGUUUUAUAUACGAGUUCUAUGUUUUUAAAGUAAUUAUCUUUAACCAGACCAGUUAUGCUUGUAGUUGCUGGAAAACGGCUAUCUACAUUCACAUAAAUUUCACAAACUGCUUAACUAAUAGAUUAAUUAUGAAAUGUAGAAGGUAUUAAGGUAAGUAUUAAGACAAUAAUUAUAUUGCAAGCAUAUGCGAGAAGUCCGCUGGAUGCACCAACAGCUCUAUUAAUGUUUUCUUGCACAUAUGUAUGUAUGUAUACCUGUUUGGGCGUUUUAAAAAUUACAUGCUAGUCGUUCUAGAUGUGAACACUCCAUACUCUUUACUCUGUACUCUGGUUGGUAGCCACUUUUUGAUAAUAAUAUCACACUCUACCGCACCAAGUUAAGAAACAGCGAGCGUAGGUUAAAUAAACCGGAUUUGAAUGACAAACUGUAGCCGUACUCUACUACACGGCUCAGACUUCAGAACUACCAUUUCGAUAUCAACUGGCAAAAGCAUAUAAAUCUCAAGGUCGUUUCGCCAGCAAGACAAUUACCAACCUGGAAAUCAACAACUGGGCUACUAGCGGGCCCUCUUUAACUGCCACCAGGAUCCAGUUCCGCUUAAUCGGGAGUCGACUCGCAAUGCGGAAGAAACUUACGCUGCUGAUUCUUGGCAGAACCUUAUUGCGUCAAUCUACUUCCUUAACUUUCGACAGCAAGCGAGGGCUAGGCCGAGGGAAACGGAGUCUCAUACAGAGACUGGCAUAACUGUAUAACUGGCAUUACACAUGCACCCGCAAUGGACAAGUUCAAGUGCGUGGCCUGACCAAUUGCGAUGCGUACAAUGCGUGAUUUACGGGUUUGGAGAACAAACUUAUCUGUUGUGGCUUGGCUUUGUCUGUGGCAAUUUGACGUGCUUUCGAAUUGCACACAAUACAAGGGCUGCAAUGCAUUACAAAAUCAGUUAGCUAAUGCUCAUGCCUUCUGACUAUAACGAAUGGGCAUUAGCUGGGCUGUCUGUCUGCAAAGCUGCUCCGCCCACAAUUGUGAGAUCGGGGGUCUACAUUCUGCUCCAAAUUGUUCCGCAAGGCAAGCGACGGGACGCGACACAACUCUUUCUCUUAUUGUCGGUUUGUAGUUGUUCGUUCAUGUUUGGGUCACUCUACCCGAGUACCCAUGUACCCAUGUCUACGCGGUAUUCACUUCAUCACUGUAACUCGUAACCUGAAACAAAUUGUAAAUCAAAUUACUUGAAUGUUUUGUUUUGCUCUGUGUGUGGUAAUAUCCAAUUGCUUUGAUUUAACCGGGAGCACUUGGAGAGGUCAUGGUGUCAUAAAAGUUGUCUCUCUCCUUUCUCUCUCUGUUGACUUCGUAACCCGUACUCAAGAAGUUGGUUGGCAUUGCAUGAAUUCCACGUGUCAAGUCAAAGAGAGGAUAUGGCAAUAUACUUACGGAUCAAUCAAUUUUUUAGUCUCUGAAAUAUAGUUACUUAAAUCCUUGUCGAGUAUUAAAAAAAUGUACCUUUCCCAUUUAAAAAUGUCCAAAUUUAUUUACAUAAUCUUCAAACAAAACCAACCCCGCAAAACUGACUACCCCACGCCUCUAUCCGGUGGGUCUGUGGUCACACAGCGCUACAUUUGGAGCAAAUUCGUGAACACCACGACAGCAGGCGCGAAAGGCAGCGCACGAUCUAUAGGCUGCCUGUGGACAGACCAAACCAAAUAGACAGACGCAUGGCCAGCUAGUCAUGUCUUUCGAGAAACUUUUAAGCAGAUUAAUUACCAACUUUUGGGCACGGUUCAACAGGCGGAUCUCUGAACAACGUAAAAUUUAACUCAAUAUGGAAAGUACCAUACUCUGUACAGUUUAAUGUUCUUAUAUCAAAGAUUUAUCUUAGAAAUUUGAUAAUUUGAGCGCAGUAGGUUGUUUCCGGUGCUUUCUGUAGCCAAUGUAUGGGUAAAGGCAUUGCGAGAUGUAUUAUUCUCAAUCGAGCAAUUGAAGUACCCUCGUGGCAUUUAAUGAGGAGACGAGCUUACUGAAAUUAUAGUUCCAAGGAGGCGUGUUUUGUUUAUGACUCGAGUAACAUGAGGCGCAUUCAUGGGGAAUUUCCAUCCCCCAUGCCCCACCUUGCAGUCCAAACGAAUAAGUGCGCGCCUUGUGCCAAAUUUCAGAUUUCAGAUCGUAUCAAAUGGAUUGCAAUUGUUUUGAGUUUAUGAUUCAAUUGAUGAUACAUUAUGUCAAACUAUCUUUGACAUGCAAAGGUGCGGUCUUUGCCCGUCCAUUUGCAAUCCCUUUAUAGCAGUAUCUAUGUACGAAUCACAGAGCAAUGGCAACCAUCAGCCUAUGCAAACUAUUUUUCACAAUGCAUUCUCCGCACCCACCUCUACUAUGAAUUCAUUGCACUAAGCACCAUUCAUACUCACUCGAGAUGAUGUUAGCGGCAGCGCGAGUUGCCGAGAACGUACUUCUACAAUUCGAAGGCUGAAAGCCAAAAUAUAUACGUACAUAUGUAUAUGAUACCCACACUAUCAUAUAGCUAUAUAUUUGGCAAUUUGCAGCGGCGUGAUAAAUUUACAUGCUAUCUACAUUCGUACUAGAUAUCAUUUUAAAAAUGGAAUGAAAGCAUACUUUUGGGGCUAUAUUUUUAUAUAUAUAUGUGGAUAUGCACAAUGUACUGUACUGGAGUUUAAUCUUUGAAUAUGCGUUUCAGUGAG